AAAGACCUCGCGUUAUUGGAGCGGCCGAUAUCUGAUUAGCUAGUUGGUGGGGUAAAGGCUCACCAAGGCGACGAUCAGUAGCUGGUCUGAGAGGAUGAUCAGCCACACUGGAACUGAGACACGGUCCAGACUCCUACGGGAGGCAGCAGUGGGGAAUUUUGGACAAUGGGCGCAAGCCUGAUCCAGCCAUUCCGCGUGAGUGAAGAAGGCCUUCGGGUUGUAAAGCUCUUUCGCAAGGGAAGAAACGAUACGAGCGGAUAACUCGUGUUAAUGACGGUACCUUGAUAAGAAGCACCGGCUAACUACGUGCCAGCAGCCGCGGUAAUACGUAGGGUGCGAGCGUUAAUCGGAAUUACUGGGCGUAAAGCGUGCGCAGGCGGUUUUGUAAGUCAGAUGUGAAAUCCCCGGGCUCAACCUGGGAACU
rnacentral:rRNA from 1 species